AAAAUUUAAAAUUAAAAUACUAAAAUAGUAAAUAAAUAUUUAUUUAAACUUAAAUAAUUUGGCGGUAUUUUAGUUCAUUUAGAGGAAUCUGUUUAAUAAUCGAUAUUCCACGAAUAAAUUUACUUAAUUUAUAAUUUUGUAUAUCGUUGUUAUAAAAAUAUUUUUUAAUAAAAUUAAUAUUUAAAAAUUAAUAACAUAAAUUUAAAUCAGAUCAAGAUGCAGAAUAUAAUUAAGAAUAUAAUGGAUUACAAUAAAUUUAUUUAAAUAGAUUUUAAUUUGUAAGAAUUAAUUGAAAGUGGAUUUAAAUGUAAUUUUAUUUAAUUUAAUGGAAUGAUUAAAAAUUAAAAUAUGU
rnacentral:rRNA from 9 species